rnacentral:lncRNA from 8 species
AUGGCAGGCCUUCAAUGUGUAAACAUGGAUACAAUAUACAACCUUCUCCGGCAGCACAGACUGGACACCUACUACCACAAAUUCCUCUCUUUGGGUGUCCAAGAUGAGAGAGAUUUCACCGAUGGCGUAAAUGGUGAAGAUUUAGACAAAAUGGGUUUCAGUCAAGUAGAGAAGAAUCGUUUUGAAAAAAUGAAAGAUUUCAUCCAAAGACUCAGAGCGCCACAGCAAGCGAUGCCUGUACAAAAACCAAUGGAGUCUUUCCGACUGUGGUACACAUACCCCCACUGUCCUGAGCUGAAAGAGAUCACAGACAUGGAUCCUGCUACAAACACCGUUGAAGAUCUGAUGCUAAGGAUCUGUCACCAAGAGGGCAUUGAGAACUCUAAAGCUGUGUGCCUCUACACAGUUGAGGGAAUGCCUCUAACUGAUGAUCCUUUCUUUAACACAUGGUCUUUGAAAGACAGGCACAUUGAAAAUGGAAGUGAGCUCUAUGCCAUGUUUACACCCAAGGAGAACUUGAGACAAGCCCUGCUAGUGCCACUGCAAGAGAUGACUGACAUGACAGGAGAGGAUAAUGUUCGAUGCCACAUCAUGCUCAAGGUGAAUUCAUCUUUACAUUGGUGUACUCUAUUGGAUCUGCGUUCCAUACACAGAUGGUUACACGUUGACUGGUGAAGUGGGGGGAAGUUUUUUCAAUGCCACAUUCUGUGUUUGUUACCGUACACACUGAAUUCCGGAUAAAGCACAAAUCAGCUAUUACUGUAGCCUACAUUUUCCCAAACCUGUGUGUAUGAAAGGGUGUGAUCCCUGGAUUUCUUCGUAAAUCAUUGCUGUCCUUUAUUUAAAGGUAGACUUAGCGAAAUGAUGUUGCCAAGAGCAGCACUGCAAAUAUUGCAAUGAGCGCGAUGCAAGACUUUGCUCAAAUCAAAUUUUAUUUGUCACAUGUGCCGAAUAAAACAGGUGUAGACCUUACCGUGAAAUGCUUACUUACAGUUCCUUAAUUAACCAACAAUGCAGUUCAAGAAAUAUUUACUAAAUAAUAAAUACGAUGAAAUCAAAAAGUAACACAAGAAAAUGACAUAACAAUAAGGAGGCUAUAUACAGGGGGUACCGGUACCGAGUCAAUGUGCGGGGGUACAGGUAGUGGAGAUCAUUUUCUUUGUCACGCACAGUAUCUGCUACAAAGCGUUAGUUAUGGGACCAAAACAGCUGAGAAGUCUUGCCUUGCACUCUUUAAUUGACCCACUAUGCUGUUUACUUUGUGCAUCUACGUCAUCCCACUGAGUCUACCUUUAAUACUUUUAUACACUGCUCAAAAAAAUAAAGGGAACACUUAAACAAUACAAUGUAACUCCAAGUCAAUCACACUUCUGUGAAAUCAAACUGUCCACUUAGGAAGCAACACUGAUUGACAAUAAAUUUCACAUGCUGUUGUGCAAAUGGAAUAGACAACAGGUGGAAAUUAUAGGCAAUUAGCAAGACACCCCCAAUAAAGGAGUGGUUCUGCAGGUGGUGACCACAGACCAUUUCUCAGUUCCUAUGCUUUCUGGCUGAUGUUUUGGUCACUUUUGAAUGCUGGCGGU